GAAAUUAUUUAUUAUUUUAUAUAAAUCAAUUUAUAAGCAUAUAAAAUACCUGUGGUUUCAUAUUUUGAAAUCACAGGUGAAGUUUUGUUUUUAUUUUACAUAUAGGGGAAUUAUCACCCUACGUCACACUGACGUCACGCAGGUGCAACUGCGCAUGUCGGUUGCAGAAGCUUCAAGCUAGCCGCUGAAACAAGCCCGGAAAAAUGUCGUGUUGUGCAGUGGGUUGCCAGAAUCGAAAGUCUGUAAAUAAAGAUCUGAAGUUUUACCGAAUACCAUCAACUCACACUCCUUUUAACGCCAACCGCAGACGUCUUUGGUUACAAGCCAUCAGAAGAAUCGACUGGAACGACAACCUAAUUAAAAAUGCCCGACUCUGCAGUUCUCACUUCAUAUCAGGAGAGGUGUCCAUGGACUCCAGUAGUCCUGACUUUGUCCCGUCUGUUUUUUCCUACUCAACCCAGUGUCAAAUAAACAAAGGCGACGCAAAACUUGAGAGAUUUAAGAGGAAAAGAACAAGAGAGGAAACCACACACAGACCCCCAGAUCACGUCCACCUAUCCACAGAAGUUACAGAUGAGGUUGCAUCAGAAUCCUCAGCCGCUUGCCUGUCCUCAGAUGACUGCAGAAUGGAGCCUGGUUCUGGUCCUUUCACAGAAGCCACAGUCACUAAGGUUCUCCAUGAUGAGCUGAAACUCAAGUACAGCCAACUUUCUGCAGAGUGUGUCAACCUGCGUUCAGAGAUCAACAAACUGAAAUCAGAGAAGGAGGAACUAAAGGAAACACUCAGAAAAACACAGUUUUCCUUUAGCUCUAUCAAGAGCAAAGCGGUGCAUGUUCUGUUUUUCACAGGUCUGACCAGUGUCAUUUUUGAGUGGUUGAUUCAGAAACUUAAAGGCAGUGUAGAGGUUGUGCGUGGCUCUAUGAGCCUAGAGGACCAUCUAUUAGUUACACUAAUGAAACUAAGAUUAGGACUCAGCAACAAGGAUAUUGCUUUCAGAUUUAAUGUAACAGAAUGUGACGUGUCGAAAAUUUUGAGAAGUUGGCUCCCUGUCAUGUCUGCGACUUUAAAACCUCUCAUUAAGUGGCCAAGCAAGCAAGCAAUAUUAAAGAAUAUGCCAAAAUGUUUUAAACCUAAAUAUAAACGUUGCAGGUGCAUCAUUGACUGCACAGAAAUUUUUAUAAACAGACCCACAAAUUUAACCUCCAGAGCCCAGACGUACUCAACUUAUAAAAGCCACAACACUGUAAAAUAUUUAGUUGGCAUGUCACCUGCAGGAGCCAUUACUUUUCUGUCGGCAGGUUGGGGCGGGCGUGUUUCCGAUAAACAAAUUACAGCAGAGUCUGGAUUUUAUGACCUUCUAGAGCAUAAUGAUGAGAUUCUAGCAGAUCGUGGUUUCACCAUCAGAGAUGAGCUUGCUACACGCGGUGCCACACUUAGGAUCCCUCACUUUACCAAAGGAAAGAAGCAGCUCUCUGCUCAAGAAGUGGACACAUCAAGGCGUUUGUCUAAUGUGAGAAUACACAUUGAAAGAGUAAUUGGUAGAUGGAAAAACUUCAAAAUUCUGACAACUGUUAUUCCACUCACACAGGUUGACCUCUUAGAUGACAUGGUGAUUGUGUGUGGAGCAUUAACAAACCUCUGUAAAUGCAUAGUCCCAAGAAGAUAACUUGAAGCGGUUAACGUUUUUUUUUAAAUUAUUAUUUUUUUAGGUGGUGGUGACUGCAACAGAACAGAGAAGGAUCAGUGAACAAUUAAUUGUAUGUCUUGGACAUGACCACACAGAACAAAAUUAUAGGCAUCAAGAGAUUUGUACGCUUUCAACUUCUCCUGGGUAUAAACACUUGGAGUGUCGAUCAGGUAAUUAUAUAUUUCUGGCCACUGAAUGCUUGGCCAUUUCGUUUCGUCGUUUGACCAUUGACAAAGCUCUAUGGCAAACGGAUCUGUAAGACGUAUCCCACUCAUUAAGGUAAGCUUAGUUGAAUAACAGCUCUUAUCGCUGGGUGACAAGCUGUUGUAAUACGCGGAGAACAUUUUAAAUAUGUACAAUCUAAUCAAUAUAAAAUGUAAUGUUGAUAUCUAACUACGUAACGAUAACGUAAUGUAUUAUUUUGCUAGCUAACACCUCUCCCGCGCUCUCGCUUCUGCAACCAAGCUGCGCGCGCAUCCCGAAUG